CAUGUUGCCCAGGCUGGUCUCAAUUUCCUGGGUUCUAUUGAUCCUCCCAACUUGACCUCCCAAACUGCUGUGAUUACAGGUCUGAGCCACCAUGUCUGGCCCUAGAUUAUGUUUUACUUUCAUCACAGUCCUCUUUUCCACACAUACGUCUUACUUCUCAAUAGGUGGCAUUAAAUUCAUACCAUUUUAGAAAAGAAAUUAAUUCUGAUUGACCCUGAAGUCUAGGAUCUCUCAUCUGAGUCGUAGUAUGUAGCCAAAUUGCUCUAGUUCAUUUUUAAUACUUUCUUUCCUAUCAUACAGUAAACUCCUUUAAAAGGCAAUCUGACAGUGACUAAAGGUCACUUAAGAAGCGUUAAGAAUUUAAAAGUGAGUCAGAUUAUAGGGGGAAAUAGGUCAAACAAUAAAUAUAUGUCGUUAUAUUGUGGUAUUUCAAGAGGCUCUCCAAAUCUUAUUUAAAGUCUCUCCAUUUUAAUGUGUCCAAGAAAAUAAAAGCAUAAAAGAAAA
rnacentral:lncRNA from 1 species